rnacentral:rRNA from 1 species
CCUACGGGAGGCAGCAGUGAGGAAUAUUGGUCAAUGGGCGCGAGCCUGAACCAGCCAAGUAGCGUGAAGGAUGACUGCCCUACGGGUUGUAAACUUCUUUUAUAAAGGAAUAAAGUGAGGCACGUGUGCCUUUUUGUCUGUACUUUAUGAAUAAGGAAAGGCUAACUCCGUUCCAGCGGCCGCGGUAAUACGGAGGAUACGAGCGUUGUCCGGAUUGAUUGGGUUUAAAGGGAGCGUAGAUGGGUUGUUAAGUUAGUUGUGAAAUUUUGCGGCUCAACCGUAAAAUGGCAAUGGAUACUGGCAGUCUUGAGUGCAGAUGAGGUAGGUGGAAUUCGUGGUGUAGCGGUGAAAUGCUUAGAUAUAACGAAGAACUCCGAUUGCGAAGGCAGCUUACUAAACUGCCACUGACAUUGAUGCUCGAAAGUGUGGGUAUCAAACAGGAUUAGAUACCCUAGUAGUC